GAUGAACGCUGGCGGCGUGCCUAAUACAUGCAAGUCGAGCGAAUGGAUUAAGAGCUUGCUCUUAUGAAGUUAGCGGCGGACGGGUGAGUAACACGUGGGAAACCUGCCCAUAAGACUGGGAUAACUCCGGGAAACCGGGGCUAAUACCGGAUAACAUUUUGAACCGCAUGGUUCGAAAUUGAAAGGCGGCUUUGGCUGUCACUUAUGGAUGGACCCGCGUCGCAUUAGCUAGUUGGUGAGGUAACGGCUCACCAAGGCAACGAUGCGUAGCCGACCUGAGAGGGUGAUCGGCCACACUGGGACUGAGACACGGCCCAGACUCCUACGGGAGGCAGCAGUAGGGAAUCUUCCGCAAUGGACGAAAGUCUGACGGAGCAACGCCGCGUGAGUGAUGAAGGCUUUCGGGUCGUAAAACUCUGUUGUUAGGGAAGAACAAGUGCUAGUUGAAUAAGCUGGCACCUUGACGGUACCUAACCAGAAAGCCACGGCUAACUACGUGCCAGCCGCCGCCGUAA
rnacentral:rRNA from 1 species